GUGCUCACUCAGGCAGCAUAUACACUAAAACUGAAACAAUACAGAGGUUACCCUGGCCCUGUGCAAGGAUGAUGUACAAAUUCAUAAAAUUCAUAAAACAUUA